rnacentral:tmRNA from 1 species
CUGUGCGCAGGACUUGAAAAAUUGCCCAUGCAAGUCAAUCUCGGGUGACAUAUACAAAUGCCAACACAUUUGUCGCGAAAGUAAAGAACGCUUUUGCGUCUCUUUCUCUCGCACCUGUAGUUGCUUAAUUAAGUAACUGCGGUCGAAUCCGCGACACCGAUGGCGGCCUAGACCUAUUAUCCUCGGUUAGAUGACCGUUUCCGUGUGAAGAUGGCUCGUCGAAGUUGACUCACGCUCGCUCUGGAAGUAUUUUGCGGAUUUUAAGCUUUCGGAGUCAGACCAAAAAAAUUUGCUAAACUUGUAGAUAUCGCUUGUGAUGACUUUUGGACGCGGGUGCAAUUCCCGCCAGCUCCACCA